CUCACCAGGGCUCCUCAGUUCAGUUCAGCAUGAAGCUCCCUGCUCAGCUCCUGGGGCUGCUGAUGCUCUGGAUCCCUGGAUCUAGUGGGGAUGUUGUGAUGACCCAGACUCCACUCUCCCUGUCCAUUGCCCCUGGACAGCCGGCCUCCAUCUCCUGCAGGUCCAGUCAGAGCCUCCUGCAUAGUAAUGGAGACACCUAUUUGGAUUGGUACCUGCAGAAGCCAGGCCAGUCUCCACAGCUCCUGAUUUAUGAAGUUUCCAACAGGGCCUCUGGGGUCUCAGACAGGUUCAGUGGCAGUGGGUCAGGGACAGAUUUCACCCUGAAAAUCAGCCGGGUGCAGGCUGAGGAUGCUGGAGUUUAUUACUGCAUGCAAGCUACACAUGAUCCUCCCACAGUGAUACAGCCCCGUACACAAACCCCUCACCAAGGAGGCCCAGCUGCCCUUGUGUGUUGCUUGUCAGGGAGCAGCACAGCAAAGUCUCCAGUCUACACAACAGGAAGAUGCUGGAGUUCUCAGGGUAACAGGUGUUCUUGAGAGCUCUGGACCAUGAGU